rnacentral:rRNA from 1 species
UACGAAGGGGACUAGCGUUGUUCGGAAUCACUGGGCGUAAAGCGCACGUAGGCGGAUGUGUCAGUCAGGGGUGAAAUCCUGGAGCUCAACUCCAGAACUGCCUUUGAUACUGAGAAGCUUGAGUCCGGGAGAGGUGAGUGGAACUGCGAGUGUAGAGGUGAAAUUCGUAGAUAUUCGCAAGAACACCAGUGGCGAAGGCGGCUCACUGGCCCGGUACUGACGCUGAGGUGCGAAAGCGUGGGGAGCAAACAGG